UACGUAGGGUGCGAGCGUUAAUCGGAAUUACUGGGCGUAAAGCGUGCGCAGGCGGUUAUGUAAGACAGAUGUGAAAUCCCCGGGCUCCACCUGGGACCUGCAUUUGUGACUGCAUAGCUAGAGUACGGUAGAGGGGGGUAGAAUUCCACGUGUAGCAGUGAAAUGCGUAGAUAUGUGGAGGAAUACCGAUGGCGAAGGCAGCCCCCUGGGUCAACACUGACGCUCAUGCACGAAAGCGUGGGGAGCAAACAGG
rnacentral:rRNA from 1 species